UAAGGAAUAUUGCUCAAUGGGAGAAAUCCUGAAGCAGCAACGCCGCGUGGAGGAUGAAGGGUUUUUAACUUGUAAACUCCUGUAAAGAAGGAAAAAAUUCCCAUUAGAUGGGAAAUGAUGGUACUUCUGGAGUAAGCCCCGGCUAACUACGUGCCAGCAGCCGCGGUAAUACGUAGGGGGCAAGCGUUGUCCGGAUUUACUGGGUGUAAAGGGUGCUCAGGCGGAUUUGUAAGUCAGAGGUGAAAUCUCACAGCUUAACUGUGAAACUGCCUUUGAUACUGCAAGCCUAGAGUAUGGAAGAGAGUGAUGGAAUAUCUGGUGUAGCAGUGAAAUGCGUAGAUAUCAGAUAGAACACCAAUGGCGAAGGCAGUCACUUGGUCCAUAACUGACGCUAAAGCACGAAAGCGUGGGUAGCAAACAGGAUUAGAUACCCUGGUAGUCCACGCCCUAAACGAUGAAUACUAGAUGUUGGCUUCGCAUGAAGUCAGUAUCUGAGCUAACGCAUUAAGUAUUCCACCUGGGAAGUACGAUCGCAAGGUUGAAACUUAAAUGAAUUGACGGGGUCAUAGCUGUUUCCUG
rnacentral:rRNA from 1 species